CAAAAUGUAAGAAGAAACCACAGUUUCUUCACUUGAAUUUUCUUUCGCCUCCCUUUACAAAAAAAUUGCUCUCCUCACAAUCUCUCAAAUUGUAUACAAAAUACAAUACAUACAUCACUAAGACUUAUACAAAGAUUGGAAAUCACACGAAACAGAAAGAUCUCUCAAAGGAGACGAAGAGAAAACCCUAAAAAAUGAGACUGGUCAUGCUAUGAAGGGUCACAGGAGACUUUUAUAGUCCAACCAAGGAGUCUAGAUCCAAUGGUCACAACAAGACCAGAUGUAGGGCUAACAAUCAAUCUCACAAUUUAGAGGAAAAAGGCGCAUUUCUAAGAAUGUGUUUUACUUAAGGAUAAAACUCGGUGACCUAACAGUGUGGCCCAAUGACAAUGAGAAUUGGCCUGAUCCAAUAAUAGAAGGUAGCCCACAACAAUCUCCACCUUGCUAAUCCACUCUUGGGAUUCUUUUGUGAAUUCAAGACCAUUUACUUGUUUUAUUUGCUCUACAAAACUCAUAAAAAGAAACAAUUAGUUUAUAUUCAAAAUUAAGGUAGAAUAAAAAAUUGAAAUUGUAUCUAUUGCCUUUAAGAUAUGUUAAUAAUUUUCAAACAAUUUUUGAAAUUGUUUAAGGGCAGAACUUUAGUACCAAUAUUAGAAGGACUAAAUUUUAAUUGAAAUUUUAACUAGGUUAAUUAGACCCUUUUCAACCAUAUUUCUAACAAAGUGAAAUUUAAUGUCAACAUUCUUAAUCCUAUCAUGAUAUAAAGGAUUUUUGCUUAAAUGAAUUGCACUUUGGUUAUCUAUAUAAAUUUUAACAACUUCAUUUAUAAUACCAAUUUUACUUAACAAGCCCCUUAACCAUAAUACUUAUUUGAUAACAUCACAUGUUGCAACAUACUCAACUUCAGUAGAAGAUGAAGCUAUAGCUUUUUGUAAUUGAGACUUGCAACUAAUACAGCCAUCACAAAGAGUAAACACAAAAGAAAAAAUCGAUCUUCUUUUAUCUAAGUCACCUGUAAAAUUAGAAUCUGUAUAACUCUUUUAACACAUUCAUUACAUUUUUGAAAUUUGAAUCCCAGUUCAGUUGGGCCUUUUAAGUAUCUAAUCAUCCAUUUUAUUGCUAACCAACGAGUUUUACCUGAAUUAGCCAUAAAUCUACUAAGAAUACUUAUUUCAUGAAAUAAAUCAGGUCUAGUGCAUAUCAAAGCCAACAAAAAUUUCGAUAGAAAUGUAUUUAGCAACAGGUGAAAAUAUUUCAUUAUAGUCAAUGCCCUCUCUCUGUGUAAAGUCUUUUGCUACAAGUCUGACCUUAUAUCUUAUACUCCCAGAAUCACCUUCUUUAAUUUUGUAAAUAUAUUUACAAUUAAUAACCUUUUGAUGUUUAGGUCCAUUGAUAGGGAUCCAUGAUUUAUUCAUAGUUAAUGAAUCCAUGUCUUCUUUAAUGGCUUCCAGCCAAAAUUAUGAUUCUUUACAGUUUAUUAGCUUCUUCAAAGGUGGUAGAAUCAAAAUUAACAUAUUCAAGCUCAAUAUAGAAAGUCACAAAUUCAUCUUUGUUGAUUUUGGUAGAAGAGAACCAAUUUCUUCUACCUCUGUCCCUGGUCAAUUGAUAAUUUUCAAGAGCAAUUUUUUGAGAUUGAUUUUCAGUAUCUGAUUCAUCUUGAGACUGAUUUAUAUCAGAUUGAGCAGUCUCCACCUCAAUCAAAUUAUCAGGUUCAGUAAGAUCAUUUUCCAGGUAUUCAAGGAUAGUUUCUUUAUUAGGGGUUAUUCCAUUAAUGUUUUGAUCUGAUGAAUUCUUGUAAGGGAACUUACUUCAUCAAAGAUUACAUUUCUAAUAAUAAUGACUCUGAACCCAUCUUUACCUUUUACCCACAAUCUAUAACCCUUUGUUUUUUCUCCAUAACCUAGAAAAAUACAUUUUUGAGAUCUGUGUUCAAGUUUGUCAACAUCUUGAUGAGAAUAGGUAGCACAACCAAAAACCCUUAGUUUAAAACAAUUUGGAGACUUUUCAGACCACAAGGAUUCAGGGACUUGAAAAUCAAUAGUACUUGAGAGAAUUCUAUUUAUCAGAUAAGUGGCAGUUUUCAAUGCUCUCUUCAAAAGAAUUUUGGAAGUCUAGAACUUAGUAACAUACAUCUAACAUUUUCCAACAAGGUUCUAUUAAUCCUUUUAGCGAUACCAUUCUGCUAAGGAGUGUAUGUUACUGUUCUGCGACUCAAAAUUCUAGAUUCUUUACAAAGGGAGUCAAAUUCAAAGUUACAAAAUUCAAGCCCAUUAUCCGUUCUAAGUGUUUUGGUCUACUUAUUUGUCUAAUUUUUUAUUAUAAGUUUCCAUUGCUUAAAAGUUUGGAAAGUAUCAGAUCUAUGUUUUAAAAGAAGGUCCAAAUUUUUCUUAAAAAAUCAUCUACAGUCAACAAAUAAAAUUUGAAACCACUUAGAGUACUUACUAAUGCCAGACCCCAUAGGUCAACAUGUAAAUACUCAAGUGUAGAGGUGGA
rnacentral:lncRNA from 1 species